UGUAGGAGGAGCCAGGUGCGGCGUUCAGAUGCUGAGAAAAACCUCAGACUAAAAUAAACUUCGUGACACGAGUUUUCAAAACAAGCUUAAAAAUACGUUUUACUUAAAUUGUAAUGUACUGAAGGAGGUUGUUGUAAAGAAAGUGCAAUUCAGAAACAGACUAACUUUCAUCUAUUAAAUAUAUCCUGAAAUAUAUUCAAAUAAAGCAACUCAUACACGCAGUGUUUUUAAAAAGUGUCAAAAUUCAAACAUUUCAUACAGUACCUCAAAGCAUCACGGUUCGUAACGACGUAAUGACGUCACAGAAAAGAACGCACAGAAAUGUCGUCUGUUAAUAUUGUGUGUUGGUUCACUCUCACAACAACCGUUGUUUUUUCUCUUUUCGUAGCACAUUUUUGUCUAUGCAGUUUUUCCAUAAAUAUUGCGUUGUGUUGUUUAAACCUAGUGUGUUAAUAUUAUUCUGCUUGUUUUCCUAAUGCCGAUGCUGUUGUUGGCUGACGUGGAGCUAAGUUCAUUUAACUGAUAUUUUCUAGUUUUAUGAAGUAGCUGAUUGCAGAAAACAGUGAAAAAUUCAAGUUUCUCAAAGUGCAGUAUUGCAGUAGAAGUACUGUUUGUUACUGCUCCUCCAGGUGAUUCAGAGACAAAAGGGGGAGCUGCUGCAGCGCACAUCACUGUCUGUGGAGACGUUGCUCCAGUUCUACAGCUUCAGUUUGUCUUUAUGUUAAGGUUUAUUCCAACAGAUCUUAUCUGAACAACCACUUCAAAUCACGAGCUUCCAGGCUCAAAGUCUCUUUAUUCUCUCAUGCUUGUUUUUGUUUCCUUCCAAACUCAAAUAAACACUGAAAGGUCAUUUGUAGAUACUGGUACAUGUACAUUUGUAUAUUUGCACUAUUUUGCACAUUUUUCUGUUUUCUUGUGAGCCCCUUAACACGUUAAUUUCUCAGAUGUAGAAUCAAUAAAUAUUAAUAUUAUCUUCAUUUCAUCUCUGCAUUGUUACAAAUGUAAUUUCCUGCCUUCACAUAUAAACCCCUGCAGCAUUUUGCAGUUAAUUUUACACAAUCUCCCGUUUGAAUGGACGCUGACGCCAAGCAGACGUUGAGAAACGUGUGGAUUUUCCCUGAAUGCCUAAUAUCCUUUUAAUACCAUUUCAGCUUUGAAACACAAAGACGAGAACUUUAAAGAAAAUAAAAACCUAGUAAAUUACACUGUGAUAUUCUAACUUAAGUGCAGUAGGCAUAUGGACUAUGAAGUGCUGUGGUAGUUUGUAGUUAGAGGUGGUCCCUGCCGUGUGUGUUGAGUAUUGUGUACUUCCACCACCUCUGUUAUUGACCCUGUGACCUCUCAGUUUGAUGCACCUCCUCUGAGACGCGACGAGCAGAGACGAAUGAGUCUGACUGGAGGCUUCUCUCCGUCCGUGAUGGAUGCUGCUGCCUGCGACGUUCUGCAAACGAUGAGGCCCGACGCUGAGAAGGAGGAGGAGAGAGGUGAUGGCGACUAAAAUGGACGAUGGCGGUGGAGAGCAGCUGUCCCUGCAUGAGGCCCGAACACCGUCCGUUGACUGAGCUGAGGUCAGCUGAGGCGCGGCCCACGCUGCAGACUAGGAGCCGUACGUCCCCAGACAGAGACGAAGAUCCGUCAGAUGGACCCGGUCCGACUGGGAAGUAAAGCGUCCACACAAAAGGCUCAAAAAGGGAACGACAGCACAAUUAGCUGGGGAACAGUUCCACAGGUACCAAUGUUAGAAUAGUGGGUUUGACCCUGAGGCAACUUUUCAUGCACUGACAAAAGAAGAACACUGAACUGGAAGCAACAGCAGCGGCGAUGAUGGUGAGAGCGUUACUCUGGAGAUCUGGCACCAACAAAGGCUUCAGGAAGCAGCCGCCACGCGCUGUGGUGGCUCCAGGUGUUAGACACCACUGACGGUCCAUCCUGGAUCCAGGUGCCAGCGUCGGCCCAGCCUGCACCCACCACAGCCCUGCCUCCGCUCCUUCCUGGGCCGACUUCAGCAGCCGCUCACCUUCACUGAUAUUAAUGAGCUCUGGGGUCCCAUUUCCUCUGUUUAUUAACUGCUAACAGCCAGUGUGUGUGUGUGUGUGUGUGUGUGUGUGUGUGUGUGUGUGUGUGUGUGUGUGUGUGUGUGUGUGUGUGUGCGUGUGUGCGUGCGUGUGUGUGUGUGUGUUGUUUUUAUGCAGACAUGGCUGUUUUUUAAUAAAUGGACUUCUUGGAAUUGAAGCAGAUCAUUAAUGAUGAUGAUGGCAGCAGGUUUCUGGAACGACCUCGAUGAAGGAGAGUUUUCAGACAAAGGAACGGUUGAACAGACAAAGAUACGCUACUAGUCUCAGACUUCUUCUACCGCUGCUAAUGCUUCAUUAUUUGCUUCAUUAUUUCUUUGUUUAUGUCUGUUUCAUUUUGUUUUAAAAGCGUCCGGAUCUGUCUCUCAGAAGAUAAUGCACUAGCGGAUGUUCCUGGUUCAGUGUGACUUUAGGAGGCGACAGCAGAAUAAGCGGCUGACGCCGGGACGUGAUUAUGGGAUGGAUGCCGGGUUCAGAGGUCAACCCUUGAAACGCCGCGCUCAGCAGAUUCCACCGCGCGCCUCGUUUGUCUUCUCUCCAACUCUGACCUCACCUGUCGAGCUCCUAACGCGCCUCCACCGCGUCGCUACGGCGACAGACACAACACCUUGUGCCUGUUCGCUUCCCGUGUUUGUUAGAUCUUAUUACAUUUCUUCAGACUGCAUUCAUUUGCGUUUCACCGUCAGUGAAAUCAGGUUUGAUGCCUGACGUUCCUCUGCUGAUGUUUCACACUGGGUUCCUGCCGUGGCUCAAAGCUCCUCUCAGCUGCUGACAGCAGACAGAUGUUCAGCUCUGACAUCUACACACUUUCCAGUUCUGCAGGUGUGUUUUUGGUUCUCUCUCGUCCGUCAUCACAGCGAUGCCUCUGCACCUCAGUCAGAACAAUAAUCCUCCUGCCAGGCGUGAUGGACAGCCGAGGCGGCGCGCGUCCGGACACAGAUUAAAGGUGGAGCGGUGGAGACGAGCGCUGACGUUUCCAUCAGGAGUCUGUUGAGCUGAGCGCCGGCGCUGCCUGGAGACGCCGCGGCCUCCUGCAAUAAAACACCUUCGCCCGCGAGCUUCCUUCACGGCCACGGCCGAGAUUGCGGCGCGGCGUGAAGCACCUUGUCCACGCUGUGAUUUAUUGGAUCAAAGAGUUUCUUGUCCACUUUAAAAUGUGUUGUUUCCACCUCAGAGUUUGGCAGCAGAGAGGAGCAAAGUCAGAAAGCAGAUGUUCUGUUUCAGUAAAAACUCAGUGGAACCUGAUGUGAACUUUAGCUUUAUGAUCAUAGUCAUCAUCAGCUCAUGUUAAAUAGAUACUCAGUCAUGUGCUAUAAACCCUCAGAAAUAGCAGAGACCUACACACAAACCUCAUAAAACCAAUACGUCCUGUUUUAAUCGCUAUAAACCCCUUUUUUAGGGCUAAUGCUGAUGUUUUAGCAGAACCUAGCGGGAGCUGUUUCAGGUGUUGAUUAAAACCUCUGUAGGUCUGAAGGCAAGGUUUUACAGGCCGCCGUUAAACUUCGCACGCAGGUUAUUACGCUGCGGCGCGUUUUACGACCUGCUGGGACAAACAGCCGCUGCGGGACGGAGCCAUAAAUCAUCGAAUAACAGUCAUAAUAAUGGCCCCAACAUAAAAGUGACGCGUCGUCUGCCGCUGACUGCUCCGGGAUCAUAAAUAUCUGCAGGCUGAUGCAGCUGAUACAGACAGCGAGGAAACAAAGUGCAGUGUCACAGGUCAAACCACGGUCAGACCUCCAGCAGCACCUGGUGCAACUGGGCCGGGCCUCAGGAGCCGGACGGGCUCCAGCAGCUGGACUCAGCACCGUGAUGGACUGUUUGAGCUCUUUGUCUUCUCAGUGUGCGGUGGUUGUGCGUCUCUCCUGUGUUUUUAGCCAAUUUGCAUCAGUUUGUUGUUACUUUGCAUUUAUUUAAAAUGAAUCGCCUCAUUUGACUUCAAUUUUUUGUGCUGUUGCCAUUGUGUUGCUCUGUUUUGUUUCCCUCUGUGCUUUUAUGUCUCUUCUUUUACCACCGACCAGGCUCUUAAUCGAGGCAUAAGCUGCCGCCGCCUCUAAUCUGCUGCAGGUUUCUCCCUUUAAAGGGAAAUUUUCCAGUUUAGUGGUGAAAUAGAGUGCUGUAAGUGCUGAUGUAAAAUAAUAAAUCAGUGGCUGC